AGCGAACGCUGGCGGCAGGCUUAACACAUGCAAGUCGAACGGGCACUUCGGUGCUAGUGGCAGACGGGUGAGUAACACGUGGGAACGUACCUUUCGGUUCGGAAUAAUUCAGGGAAACUUGGACUAAUACCGGAUACGCCCUUCGGGGGAAAGAUUUAUCGCCGAUAGAUCGGCCCGCGUCUGAUUAGCUAGUUGGUGAGGUAAUGGCUCACCAAGGCGACGAUCAGUAGCUGGUCUGAGAGGAUGAUCAGUCACAUUGGGACUGAGACACGGCCCAAACUCCUACGGGAGGCAGCAGUGGGGAAUAUUGGACAAUGGGCGCAAGCCUGAUCCAGCCAUGCCGCGUGAGUGAUGAAGGCCUUAGGGUUGUAAAGCUCUUUUGUCCGGGAAGAUAAUGACUGUACCGGGAGAAUAAGCCCCGGCUAACUUCGUGCCAGCCGCCGCAGUAAUAC
rnacentral:rRNA from 1 species